rnacentral:rRNA from 1 species
GGGCUCGGUCUGCGGGUCUGCUGGUCUGGAUCGGUGCGCUGCACUCAAGGUCUGGAGGUCCCUCGGCUCCGUCGGCGGCGGCGGCCGGCCACUGAGGGGAGGUCAGGGGACGAGCCGACGAGGGGAGGGGACUGAAGCCGCGAGGGUAGGUCAGGGGACGUCCGACGUCGGGACGAGCGGACGAGCCGACGCGAGGAGCGGACCGAGCGGACGAGACGAAGAGGUCGGCCCGCGCCCCGCGGCGGCGCGGCCGAGACGAGGACGGGACGAGGUGGGAGGUCAGGACGGCCGGAGAGGGCGGAGGGCCAGAGGGGACCCGUUGACGACGGGGCUGACGUCGGCUCUUAAUUUUCUACUUCUAUAAAAUAAGUAGCCACCGGCGUUACCUUCACAGAUUUAAAAACCACGUUAACUCGGUAUAAACUCUAUAAGAAAACUCCAUCGAUAUCGGACUACCUGCAAUUCAAAAAGAGAGCGCUGCUUAAAAAAAAAAACCCGGGCCCCGAACGAGGUUAGGACCGAGGCGGUGACUCAGGGUCGAUACAGGCUGGAAAGAGUAAGGGAAGUGAGAGUAGUCGAGGAGGAGAGCCAAACUAAUCGGAGGGGUAGACAGGUGUGACGGUCAGGGACCAAAGAUGUCCAAACACUCUGAAGUUCCAAAUGUUCGAUCACACCGAAAUCAACUCACUCACCUCUGUCCAGUCCUUAGUGGAGGGAUAAGUCGAUCCGAUGUGGUAGAACUCUAAGUUGGACUUGGUACAAGGAACUUUUCUGUUCUCAUUUGCCCUUUUGAAUGAAACCCAAGUAUACUACGUCUGGUUCUUAUUUGCCACGUCUAAACCGAUCGUCGUUUUCUACUUACUUAUAUCACUACCUUUCGGUUUAAAUUUCACCAUGACUAGAACCACAGCUAAGGAUGGACUCGGUAGUCUGUGUUGAAGCCAACCAGUAUCCAAAGAACCGAGAAAUCCGACUCCAAAAGAAAGAACCCGUUGACUCCGUCUUCUUGGACCAUUUAACCAACUCGUCACGAUACUCCUACUUGUGUCCUACGACCACAUGUUCAAGUACUCGUAACCCUCGGGAUUCUGUGUGGAGAAGUUUUCAUAUUUAACGAGGGAAGGCACCUACUGUUCCUAUUUUUAGCUGUUCCUACUUCUAACGAUAACCGCGCCGAUUCCCUGAAAGAACUACGAUAGAGCGGUCACUAGAUGUUCCGGAUGUUGCAGAACGAGCUGAGCGCGCCCGCCCGAUAUUGCAGUCAGACUCGGAGGUGCUCGAGCUACGGGAGCCCCUUUCAUCUCGUGAGAUGUGCGAACGGCUACGUCACCAGCAAAUCCAACUGAGCUGCUGAUCCAUCGUCGUCCUCGCCUACACUUUUUCGCCACCAGUUGAACUGGACGAUUCACACGUAAACGAAAACUUCGUGAACAGAAGCAUUAGUCAGUUAAUCCGAUGUUUUGACCUGACGAUGAAGAGACAAGUAUAUUCGAAUAGGUAUACAUACUACGAGAGUGGAUUACAUAAAACACUUACACGUGACGGUCAUAACGUAAAGAUGACGACAUAAAAUAAAAGGGUUAGU